rnacentral:miRNA from 2 species
UGGCCGUUGGUAGAGUAGGAGA